CCGCACCUAGGAGUGAAAGAAACGGUUAUAACUAAGAAACAACAUUUUUUUUUAAGAAAGUAUAGAUGAUCAUUCAGACAGCCAAGGAAAAUAAAAUCAUCCUUUAUCAUAUAGAAGUUGCGAAACCAUGUCCUUCAUAUCAUCAUUGAAUAAUCAAAAUUGUAUCCGUCCAAUUUACAGUCAUUGCACAAUUAUGGGUAACUCUGUCACAAAUAUCAACGGAAACGUUCUCAUCGUGAACCAACUCGCGAGUGAAAAACGAACACAAGGCUUACUUACCUACGGAUUUGAGAGUAAGCAGUGUGAGUUUAUUCGCACGCGCAACGAAAACAAAAACGAAGCAAAACGAAAUAAAAACGAGUUUUUAAUCCAUCACGAUCAACGAUCAAUUCUGACUAUAGGGCACUGCAUGAAAUUCUCUCCUUCUUUCACUCUUACAGAAAUUUUGUAAACAACAAGGCUAAGAAACAUCAAAAUCCCAAACAAAAUCAAAACAAAUCAGUGCCCUUCUCCUUCUUCUUCUUGGCGUAACGUCCUCACUGGGACAAAGCCUGCUUCUCAGCUUAGUGUUCUAUGAGCACUUCCACAGUUAUUAACUGAGAGCUUCCUCUGCCAAUGACCAUUUUGCAUGUGUAUAUCGUGUGGCAGGCACGAAGCACUGGCGUAGCCACGGGGGGGGUUUUAGGGUUAAACCCCCCCCCCCCCCCCCCACAGAGCCAAAAUUUGUGGAACAAAUUUUCAGUAUAAAGCGCUUUGCGACGAAAAAAUUUUCGGCUGCGCCGCUAUUUUCAAAUUACGAAUACAAUUGCUCAUUACAUUUCACAAAAUGUAAAUGUCUAAUCAAAAAAGGUAUUAUUGGCCGUUGAAAACCCCUCCCAGAGACAAUUUCUGGCUACGCCACUGGCACGAAGAUACUCUAUGCCCAAGGAAUUCAAGGAAAUUUCCUUUACGAAAAGAUCCUGGACCGACCGGGAAUCGAACCCGUCACCCUCAGCAUGGUCAUGCUGAAUACCCGUGCAAAUCAGUGCCCUAUACUACCGUGAAUCGCAUAUCUGUCCCAUUUGCAUAGGAAAUCCAGCAAAGAUGGGACUGAUAUGCGAUUCACGGCAGUAUAAUACAUAUCAAUGGUUGCUCUUCCGUGAUUGAUCUAAACUGAUACCAAUUGGGUUCUUUAGGGGUAUCCGGAUUAUUUCAUUAUCGGGUUCUCCGCCCAAAAAUUAGUCGAAAUCCAAAAUUUCAAAAUUUUUGGAGUCCGGGAACUAUUUUUAAAAUGCAUUUAAAGUUUGUAUGGGGAAAAUUUUUUGUUCGGGUCGAACUGUCACUUAAACGAUUGAACUGUCAUUGUAUCCACGAAAAUUAAAACUGUUUUGUUAAUUUAACCAUCAAAACAAAGGCGUUGGAAUCCAAUAAAAUCACGUUGUACUCAGAAAAAUGAGCUCUUUCGAUUAGGCUGUAGAAAAUAGCAAUAUUUUAUUCACUAAACAACCCAAUUGCAUUGAGAUCCAACUGGGAUAUGAGGCUGGGACACUCAACUUAUUUUCAAAGUGGUUUUCUAAGCAGCUCACACAUUUUUGAUCAAUAACGGCGCCGGCCAAAUCCUUACAGUCAGCUGGAAGGGAAAGGAAUGUUAGAAUGUACUGGUUGUUGGUACUACAGACCGAGAUCACUCUGCGUCCCCACAAUCCGCAUGGACUGGAGUAUUUGUUAGACGGAAAGGAUGGGAGAUCUGGGAGUCACCGUUCCAUGGAUAGGGGAUAUUUAUAGUAUUCGUAAGGUUAUAGAUUGUGCGGUUAAUACUAUAUUAAAAAAAAAAAGACGCGGACACCGUCUUCAGCCAAAGGCUGCACAGACUGACGGUCAAGCGGCACAGUUCGCUUUGGUUGCAUAAAUUGUAGGCGUUAUAUACAGGUAAUCUUCGAUAUAACGUACCCUGGAUAGCGAAUUCGAUAUAACGCACAACAUUGAAAAAUUUCAUUUUUUCCAGUAAUAACCCUCAGAUAAACUACGAAAUCACUCAAAAUAACUCAAUGUUUUGUGGCAGCAUUGGUCUUGUUACCCAGAAUUAGGGCAAAUUGGAAAAGAAAUAGUGCACGUUAUAUCAAAGCAAAAUGUAUGUUAUAUCGAAGCACAAAAAACAAACUGACUUUUUUGUGAAAACUCAUAUUUUUCGUUAUUGGUUUUGUGAAUUUAACCGAAACCGUUGUUAGGGGUUUAUAUCACAUCGAAUUCAUCAACACCAGCAUACAAAAUAUUCUAUUUUUUUCUGCAUCGAUAUAACGUACACUUCGAUAUAACGUAUAAAGAGAUUUUUUUUUUGUAUGUUAUAAUAUCGAAGAGUACCUGUACACCCUGCCCUUCGGUUGGGCGCGUUCUGCCAACUUGGUCGAGGCAAAUUUCUUGUGAGAACAAGUUGCAUAUGGACAUUCAAAAGUGCUUGAACGAAAGAUGUUGCUUGUGAGGAUGCAAGAUCAUUCUUUGUUUUAGAAUAUUCGCGUUCGUCUAUUUGUUGCUCUUCGUGUUCGUAUAUUUUAAGUUUCAUCUUCAACUGAAUUUGAUGAACGCUGCUAGCCAGCAGGGAAGAUCUUCGUAUCUGCAUCCGUUGCACCAUUCUGAAUGGCGGUCGUGAAAGUAUCACCAAAAGCGCUACUAAUAUUUGUUUUAUAUUUUCAUGUAUGAGUAUCAUGAGUGAUAGCAGUAAGCAGUGAUAGCAGUGAAAAAUGGAAGUAAUGCAGUACGACAGUGGUGCGAUGCUGGUAAAAAAUAUCGCUGUAGAUGAGCAUUGUUUGUACUCAGUCAUGUCUAAGCCGUGCUCCGAAGUGUCAAAGGAAAGGAAGCAUGCACAAAGCACUAGGUUGGAGCUUUUUUGAUCGCAGCAACCGAGGGGUGGAUGGAUGGUGACAGAACAUACUCCCCCCUUUGGAAUGAAGAUUUCAACAUUAGUCCUCAAGCUCUGGUUCUGGACGGUUGUUUUCGAUGGGCAUAAUCGAAACCUUCGUGAUGGGACGACGAAACGUAGACCCUUUGGAGAAAACAUCGACCACCCUCACUAAGCCGUCAUCUCCUGGAUACACUGCUGAAAUCCGGCCCAACUUCCAGUUGAGAGGAGGUUGCGUUUUCUCGUGAAGCAGGACAAUCGUUCACACUUCGAUGUUCGGUGCGGGUUUCAAAUUCUUCUUGCGGGGCAGCAAAGUGUUGAGGUAAUCGCGACUCCAGGCUCUCCAGAAAUGGUCUCUCAUUACUUGCAGGUGCUGCCAGCGGUCCAAACGGCUGGCUUUGAUGUCUUCCAACGACGGUUCGGCUGGGGCAACUAGCGGACGUCCAAUCAAGUAGUGUACUGGAGUAAUUACCUUCGGAUCAGCUGGAUCAUUUGAGAUGCCAAAUAGAGGACGUGAGUUUAGUACCGCUUCUAUUUCGGUCAAAACGGUCGCGAGCUCUUCGAAUGUCAAUUUGGAGUUGCCGACAAUCCUUUUCAAGUGUGUUUUGGCCGACUUCACGGAGGACUCCCAAAGUCCCCCGAACUCGGGAGCGUCCGGCGGGAUGAAGUGCCAUUCCAUCUCACGCAUUUGGCAAAAUUGCUGGAUCUCGUCAACCGUAUGCUGGUUCUGGAACUGUUUGAAGAGCUCAUUCAGUUCAUGGUGUGCGCCCUUGAAGUUUGUGGCAUUAUCGGAGUAAAGCCGCUGAACCAGACCUCGGCGAUUUACAAACCUCUUCUACGAUGCCAGGAAUGACUGGUGCUCAAAUCGCUGACCGCUUCCAAAUGGAUGGCCUUGGUAGCCAUGCAAACGUACACUGCUACAUAGGCCUUUACCAACUUCGGACGGUACGUUCCCUGUUUAACCCAGAUCGGACCCGCAUAAUCUACGCCUGUUACAGCGAAUGACGGCGAUGGAUUUACUCUCGAUGAUGGCAAGGAUCCCAUAAGCUGUGUGGCCUUUUUUAUUAACGUCACUUUAAACAAUGAAGUUCAUUCGUGACGGAUAAGCUGUGUGGUUCCGACGGGAUUGGUGCGGAAACACUUGACACAUCCGCGUGUGACCUGCCUGACGGUAGAACGGGAAUUCAGCAGCCAGUAUCUCUGCCGGAUGGCAUUGAUCAGUUCGGUCUGCCCUACGUGGACGAGUUCCUCGUGCAUGGUGCGAAUAAACAUUUUAAUCAGUGGAUCCUUAUCAGGUAGUAUGAUGGGGUGCUUGGCUUCGAAAGGCAACGCCGACUUAUCCAAACGCCCUCCGACACGAAGUAAACCGUCCAUGAGGACAGGACGGAGGUUUCCAAUUUGCUUGCUUGAUUCACCAGACGCAGCUAGCUUGAUUUCGUCGCUCAGGUGAGUAUGCUGAACUACCCUGAAGAUGUCCUCGCUUGCUCGUCGUAACUCGCUGACGGUCAGGUAUACAUUCUUCACUCGCUGACUUGGAUCUUUUUUCCGACAGUUAUCGAAGAACCUUCGGACAUACGCCAUGAUUCGCUGAACCUUACGGAAACUGCUAUGUUGAUGCAAGAAUUCGAACCGAGAAGUACCAAUUUUGGUUACUGCUGCUACAACGACCUUCAUUUCUGGUAACGGUUCGGGUGGAACACUGUCUGCAACAUCCAUUUCGUAGUCGGAACAAGCUAGAAAUUCUGGUCCAUGCUGCCACAAACGGUUCUGGCUAAGAGCUUCAGGUAGCUGCCCUCUGGAGACGAUAUCUGCGGGGUUGUUCUUCGAGCUGAUGUAUUUCCACUGGCAACUUCCGUGUUACUGCACAUUUCCGCUACACGGUUACGCACGAAAGUCUGCAGUUGGUCCAACGGCUUCUUUAACCACGCCAGAACGAUGCUGCUGUCGGACCAUAGAACAACUUCACGAAAGGACAUCUGUAUGGCUGGGAUCACCUUCUGCAACAGACGAGUCAAAAGCAACGCUGCGCACAAUUCCUUCCUUGGAAUCGACAGAUCAUGGAGCGGUGCCACCUUGGAUUUACUGGUCAACAACACAAGUUUAGCGGUUUUAUUCGGCAAAACACUGCGCACGUAACAGCACGCACCGUAAGCAACGGUAGAUGCAUCGGCAAAUCCGUGCAAUUCAAAGAAGACUGCGUCGUCACUUGUAACCCUCCUAGGCGCUUGGAUGAGAGCUAGUUGCGGUAUAGCUUGUUGCACUUCGUUCCACUUCUGCUGACAUUCCCUUUCCACAGGUUUAUCCCAUCCUUGUUUCGUCUUCCACAGAUGCUGUACCAGGAGUUUGGCGACAACGAUCACCGGAGAAAAAAGUCCCAGGGGAUCGAACAGUUUUACUAUUUCGGAGUAGAUGGUUCUGUUGGUGGCAUGAAUGGCGACAGACGAUGGAGCAUACGGGACCGCAAUGUGGAAAGUAUCAGCCUUCGGAUCCCAUGUUAAUCCCAACAGCUUGAUCAACUCGUUCGCUUCGUAGACCGGAAUGGAUUGCUGCUUCUCCUGCUCUUCUGGUGGGACAUGCUGCAGAAAGACUUCCGAGUUGGAACACCACUUUGUCAAUGGAAAUCCUCCACGAGCCAAAGAUGAUUUCAGCUUCUUAUAGUAUUCAACCGCUAUCCAAGCCGCUAUCUCGAUGGUGUCUGCGCCCGAAAGCACAUCGUCCACAUAAAAUUCCUCUUUGAUGAUUCUGGCUACUUCGGGAGAAAUCGUGGAAUCUUCUUCGGCGAGCUGGAUGAGGCAUCUGGUGGCUUGGAAUGGGGCUGAAGCUGUGCCGUACGUUACCGUAUUAAGCUCCAGCACACGCAGCGGUUACGACGGAUCCUCCCUCCGAAAAAUCCUCAAGUAGCACGUGUCGUCCUGCACCAGCAGCACUUGCCGGUACAUUUUGCUAAUAUCAGCAGAAAAUACAAAUUUGUACUUACGGAAUCGAAGCGCUAUAGUGAACAGAUCACUUUGGACCACCGGUCCCACGUGAAGAACGUCAUUCAACGAGAGUGCAGAUGGGGAUGGUUUUGCACUGGCGUCAAAAACGACACGACACUUGGUACUGGUACUUGCAGGUCGCAAUACUGCGUGGUGCGGUAAAUAAUAUUUCCGUUUGUCCUUAGUAUCGUCGGCUUCGUUUAUCUCGUGGCAGUGGUUCAGCAACUCGUACUCACGAACAAACUCAACGUACUGCGCUUUGAGGUCAGGAUCUCGCAGGAAACGCUUCUCUAGCAACAAAAAACGCUUAAAAAAAACGCGGACACCGUCUUCAGCCAGAGGCUGUACAGACUGAAUGAAACUUAACACCAGACAAGGGGCACACGGAGCAUGCACCAGUGGAUACGGAGAAGAAACUAUUCUGACGAAAAGUUUCAUCAUCCGGAGCGGGAAUCGAACCCUCACCCCAUAGCAUGGUGCGACUAAAAACUUGGUGACCCUAACCGCUCCACAUGUAACCCGUGGUUACAAUUUUGUGUACUUUUGUCGCUACGUGCAUUUCACCCACCUACACCACUGUGUUUUGCAACAGUUUAAUUUGUUUGUUUUUAUGAAUUUUUGUUUGAUAUUUAUUUAGUUAAAAUUAGGGAAAUAAAUUCGUAUAUAUAUUGUAUCGGUGAGGCAUUUGACCCCCAAUCUCCCCACCCCAUUGCACACAUCGAAAACAGCAGCAGCAGCAGCAGAAAGAAUCGAGUGCGGUGUGUGGUGUUGUUUUGUUUUGUUAGAGAGUUACGAACCGCGAACAACGACGGACGCGAUUUGGUUCCCCGUUUAAUUUGACCGGGAAAAGCGCAAUUCAGCCUCCGUGUCGCAUAUAUUAGCUGGAUGGUUGUUCCCAGCAACGUCGGGAGUGUCCGUUCAUAGUUCCCAAAGAGGACAGUGCCGGCUGCGGUUCGGCCAUUGCGGUUCGCCAAGUGUACCACACAUCGACCGUUCUCGCUACACGGGCUCAGCCAAUAGAGCCAGUCUCGCCCGUGUAGCUAAGUGUCAAGGAGAACGAAGACAAGUUUGUACAAAGGGGCGUACAACUUGUGGCAGCAUUCUGCGGAAUCUGCCGGGAUUAUUCACGGCGAGUGGAUAGAUCCGGUGUUUUUCACCACCGUCGCUAGGGGGGAUCCGGAAAGGAGCCCGCUCUUCCCCCUAGCUAAACGACAAGGACGACUGUGCUCAGCAGUCUUAAAAGUGCCCAAAAAGAAGAAACAGAAGAAGAAAGAAGAAGAAGGAAGAAGCUCCGCAUAGUCCGUGCGGGAGCGAAACCAACGACGACCAUCACCACCGCUGCUGUUCAUCGAAGGGCCCCAACGAGUCGACCGAAGCCGAAGUGCAAAGGGGAAAACAGAGGUUUGAGAUUAAUAUAAAAGUUUAUUGCAAAAUUUAUUUAUUUAUAUUUUCCCAAUUAAUUCCAUCCGAAAUUCAAAUUUAGUGGAGGUACCCUGCUUUAGGCCGCCCUGCCGGGUAACAGCGGGUAAGGGCUGAAAGCGUCUCCUUACACACAAACGCUUCAGGGCAACUUCUCGGCAAUCCGUCAAUUGAUCCACGUUUUCCUUGAAGGGGAGCCUGACCACGAAUCUUCCAGUGUCAUCGCGGUGAUGAGUUGACCGAAAAUGGGCCUCGCAGAACUGCUCUUCCGCCGAAUGUUUUGAAACGUUGGGAACCUCUUCAAUCUGCCAAAACUGGUACAUCAUUUGCUCGAUAUCUGCUACUGAUGCUACAUUGGAGUGUGCAGCGGUCCUGACUGGAGCAUCUCAGUCGUUUAUUGUGCCAGCUACAAGCCAGCCAAGGUGGCUCUCACGAAGCUGCGGCAGGUGAGGCGCAAGCUGAAUCUGACCUGCAUUGAGCAGAUCGAAGAAAUAUGCGGCUCCAAUCAGCAUGUCUACUUGGGAUGGUUUGUGGAAGUCGACGUCGGCCAACGUAAUUCCGUCGGGCAGUUCCCAACUGCUUACGUCGAUCUUGGAAGUUGGCAAGGUUCCGGUUACCCUUGGAGUAAUAAGACAUUCCACAAUGGUGUGGAACGUAUCAUCACGAGAGUGCAGCUUCACCUUGAUCCUUUCUCGUGCAAUCGUCCGGAUAGCGCUAAUGCCGGUGAUUUCGAUGUUCGCGCAGGCUGCUUCGGUAGGCCGAGCGAGUCAGCCAUCUUCUCCGAUAUAAAGUUGACUUGGGAACCGCUGUCGAGUAAAACGCGACACGGUUGCAGCUGAUUCCUCGAGUCCGUCAGAUGAACCACCGCGGUCAGCAACAAAACGGUCUUCAUUGGUUGGGCAGAGUUGCAUGAGCACGAUGUGGAAACCGUCGCAUUGCCUUCUGGCGCCGAUGGUUGGGCCGGAGCAGCAUGCUCUUCUGUCGACUUCGGGACGGACACGUUCGACUGCGCUUCCGGUUUCACGCUUACUUCCUUGUCUCCAUGUAGUAACGUAUGGUGCUGGUUGAGACACUUCUUGCAAUGCUUCGAGGACGAGCACUCCUUGGAUAGAUGCCCCUUCCUGAGGCAGUUGAAGCAGACACGGGCUGUUCGGACCUUUUCGAGUCUCUCCGCUGUUGUAAGGCUGCCUAGAACAUCGCACUGGAAGUUUCGGUGCUGACCUUCGCAAAACACACAUCGAUCGGAGCUCUUGUUGCGACUUUAGAGGAUUCGUUGCGUUCGUAUAGCACUUCUGUACUGGAGGCUUGCUGAUGGCAGCAGCAGACUUUGGUUUGACUUGUUGCGAUGAUUGAGGCUGUACGGCGGCUUCACAAUUUUCCAAUAUUUGGCAUCUGGUCUUCUAAAACUUGACAGUCGGUUCGUAUUUCGGCAACUCUCCUUUCUUCAACGUUGACUCCCAAGCUUUCCGAGUGGAUUUGUCCAGCGCGUUGGAGAUGAGGAAGACAACCAUAUGCUCGGACACACCCAGAAGUUCUUGCUUCAGGAAUUAGAGGUUUUCCACGUGCCGCGUAGCUUCGUCGAUUAGGGCACGAAGAUCCUUUGACGACUCCGACGACAUCCGCUUCAACGAAAAGAGUCCUCGAAUAUGCGACUCGACGAGCACUCUUUCGUUCUCAUACCGCUCAGUCAAUAUUUGCCACGCCUGUCCGUAAUUGGCUUCUUUAGCGGUGUUGAGAUAGUUCCAUAUUCUGAAUCUGCAUGCCAAACUGAGCCGAAAUCCAAAUUUUCAUGAAUUUUGGUGCCCGGGAACCAAUUUAAAAAUCGUUUUAAAGUUUGUAUGGGAGCGAUUUGUCGAAUCACCCCUCAUAGCAUUUUGUACUGGGCGGAGCUGUCAAACAGUUGCCCAGCUGUCAAAAGGUGAUUUCAAAAAAUUUGUUUGUAAUUGAAUUUAGGUAUCAAAAUAAAGUUCUAAAAAUCUGAAAAAAAUCUAACUGGCUUAGAAAAAGGUGCUCUUUCGUAUAAAAUCAAAAAAACAAUACAUUGUUCUAAAUUUAAUAACCCAAUUCCCUUCGUUGAUUGUCCGUGUAUCCAAUAUUCCAGCUGCAGACCCGACCAACGCCUUCUCCAAGUGGUAGAGUUUCAAGGUAUCACUGUCGCCGGACUUGGACAUCAGGUCAUUGAAUAUUGCCUUGAACUUCGGCCAUGCAGCAUAGCUACCGUCGAACGUCGGAAUAGGGGCUUUCAACGGUUGUUGCUGAAUAAUAAGAUGUCUCUCAGCGGGUGCAGCCGGUGCCGCAUCCUUGGCUUCCAGAAUCAGCUCUUCCACAAUCUCGGAGACGAAGUUGUACAGCUCUUCAAACGUCGCAUAUUCGACCUCCUGGUCGUCCAAAUCUUCAUCCGGAAUCAGAGCCAUCACUUGACUAUGAAAGGUGCUGAACUCCGUGUACGCUGCUGUCAGAUUUCUGUACAUGACGGUGAGCUGUGCCAGGCUUUUUGGUUGACCAUCCGACACUACUCGUUCCAUCUUCACAACCUUUUGGUGGAUCUGGUCGCGCUGCCGAAAGACUGCUUUCAGCUGCUUUUUCGUUUCCGGUUCGCAGGUGAGCUCCCUCUUAAACCUUGGACAGACUGGUGGUGUACGUACCAUGGUACAAUUAUCUUGAAAUGAGUUUCAUACUGAUUAUUGUCUCCAAUCAAGAUAGGCUUGGAAUAAUUUUCUUGACAACUUGUACCAUGGUACGAAUACCACCAGUCUGUCCCUGACUUUACUGUAGCAGCGGAAAGGAUUACUGUUCGACUGCGACGACAUAAGGCCUCGGCACUUUCACGGAUCCUGUCGGUUUCGGGGUCUGAUGAUCCGCUUUGUUUUGAUCCGUCUCCGGCACUGCAGACGUGGUUGGAUCAUUCGAAUUGUUGUUUUCCAUGUUUGUUUUUUCACAACGCGAAAACGCGACGCACUACGCAACGACGAACGAAAGUUUGUUGUUGUUUAGACGAACGGUUUCGUCCACCCGCAGAAUCGUUUUCUGGAGCUUUCGCUUCCACUCACAUACGCGCACGCAAAUGUCACUUGUCGCGAAGAAGUUUUUUCUCGACGAAGCUUUUUCCUCGACGAAAUACUUUCCGACCGGGAUCGGACUUCUCGCAGAGUUCGUGAAAUGGUUUACGCACAUAUUAACACGGUUGGCGGAACAAGUUCGAACACGUUUACGGACGUGUUUGAAUUGCACUUUUUCACUUUUUCGUUACGGACCACUUUAUGUUCGGGAUUGAACGGGAAACUGGUGGUUUUUGAAGACUGUAACUCCGACGGCGGGAACGGAAUACAGCAAUCACACACUGUGACCCUGCGACCAAGCGGAUUCGGGACGGAACCUGGCCCACAAACUGUGGCACUUUACGGCGGAACGGAUACUACCGGGUUUACGAUAGUCACCCACUGUGACACCGCGGAACUUCGGAGGGACGGACCAACUAAUAAAACUUACGGCGCCGACAUAGUGCCGCUUCAAAGUGAGAGUGGGAGUGCGCGUCCAAAGGAUUUUCGUGGAUUUGCUGUUGUUGAUAUUCUUUUUUGCGGCUUCGCACACGCGCACUCUCACUCUCACGCGUAACUAUAACGGCACCCUUAGUGCUACAAACUAAGGUAUGGUUUCUACCGCUAUCGAGCGCGUACUGAUUGCUGUUCGUGUUCGUGGUUUUCUCUUCGAGGUGGGUUGGAGCUUUUUCGAUCGCAACAACCGAGGGGUGGUUGGAAGGUGACAGAACAGAUAGACUACGGAAUUACUCAAAUCUAUGCUGUGCUGCAGCAUUAGCCUUGUUCCAAAAUUAGCGCAAUUUGGCGAAAAAUUUAGUGUACGUUAAUAUCGAAGCACAAAAAAAAACGAAAUUAUAUUUUCGAGAAAACUCAUGUUUUUCAUUAUUGGAUUUGUGAAUUUCACCGAAAUCAUUAAUUGGGAUUGAUUUCACGUCGAAUACAUCAACACCUAGGGGGAAGACAGAUCUAACGAGAGCAAAUCCGUGUUCGAGGUGUUGUUCAGAAUUCCUCACAGUUCCUCAGAAAUUUUCCCAUUUAUGCCAAAGUGCGAUCUGGCACCAAUGUCAAACUGUAAAGUGUUGCAUGUGCUGAAUGAAAAUUGCAGUUUUAGGGAUGUCUUUCAACAAAUUUCGUCGAUCAUCGAUAAAGAGAGUAACUCAGAAUCUCUCAGAGUUGCUCUCGUUUGCACAGUGUCUUGCCCCUAGAUCAACACUAGAAUAAACAAUAUUAAAAUUUUCUCUGCUUCGAUAUAACGUACAAAGGGGUUUUUUUUUUGUACGUUUUAUCGAAGAGUACCUGUAUAAAUGAGUUGUAUAUGUAGAGAAGAGAAAGUGUAUAGAAAGAUACAAAGUAGGAGAAAGGGACGGGCCAGGGAUUGAACCCAGGACCUUCUGCAUACGAAUCAGCCACUAAACCACCAAGCCCGUCCAACACGAAAUAAAAACGAGUUUUUAUUCAUGAAGAACUAGUUUAGGUGCGAGACACGAGUAGGUUUGGUUUGCGUUUGUCUACGCUCAGCUGCAAUCUUAAUUAUUUUCCAUUCCUGUCAGCCAGUUUACUAUCCUAUACAUAUGAGAUUGACCCAUAAUUGUGCUAUGACUGUAGCAAUAGAGGAAAUUUUCUCGACGAACCAAUAACCUGUUACGGGUAGAAAUCCUCUACAUUGAGAUGAGCGGAACUUACAUACAUCGAUUCGGCAACGCUGUUUGUUUUGUUUACAACAGCUGCCAACACUUGCUACAAAGCUAGAUGUUCAAACUUUGUGCGUGACUUCGUUGUGGUUCAAGUUGUUUUGUUUACAUUUUCUAAUUAUGGUAGAAUUUUUUUUUUAAUUUUGUUGAAAUAGCGGAGCAAUCGAAGAAAUCUGAAAUUCAAUGCAAAAGUGUUACGCUAAUCAUAUCGGCAGAAGUGAAGUAAGAAGCAGCAAUGGAAGUUUUUUCGACAAGUGCAGCAACAAAAGUGUCGUCAUAAGCAUGAGCUUUUGAAAGCAGAAUUAAUAAAUUUUUAUCUUUUUGCCGCCAAUAUCUCGAUAUUAAAAAUAAAUAAUUUUAAUUUAUUUAGUUCCGAUUGCAAUACCGUUCAAAUGACGCCUUCCUACGAACGAUAAGCAUGUUCAUUUGGCUCACACUCUGACAGUUCUCUCUGCACGAUUGGCUCACAAUGGCCGCCUCCGCAGAUCUCUAUAAUGUAGGAUUACUAGUGGUAUCCAAAUCGGAGAGAAAAAUAAAAACAUAGCAUAGAACCAGCGGCGAGUUUCCACACUUGGGGCCCAGCUUAAUUAUUGCAUUGGGUUGCUAUUCCGUUUGUUUGUGUUAUGUCACUUUUUUAUUUAUAUUUUGCGUUAAAGUGAGCAGCGGUGUGGAAAAUAAACGAGAUUAAUACAAAAGGCCGAAACACGAAAGGCCGAAUCACAAAAGGCCGAAACCAGUGCAACUACCACAAAAGGCCGAAAGUACAAAAGACCGAAUCACGAAAGACCAAAUGUAACGAAAGGCAGAAUAUAACGAAAGGCCGAAUUACGAAAGACGCAUAUUAACUCGGUUUCCGUUUAGUUAAAUGCUUUAUCAAUUAAAAGAAUGCAUAUAAGUGUUGUUUAAGUAGUUUAUAUUUUCAAAUUGAAUAGUUGUAAUUUUUUAGUAGUUCCACUCUGUAAAAUGCACAUAAAUGUGAAUCAUGCGGCGUAGGUGCAUGGAGGGUUGAGGAACUAAGGCGGCAGAAGGCAGAAGGUAAUUGCAUCGAUUCGAAUUCCAGCAAAACAGUAGUUUAAAUAGUAUGCUAGGUAGAAUGCGAACAGUUAUCUUUUUUAGGUCCGACGAGCGUUAGCGAGUGCGGACAGCAAGCGUUUCCCCGAUAUAUAGCAAACGUAGUUGUUCGGCCAGCUAUUUGCAAUUCUUAUCAUCAUAUGCUGCUGUUAUCACCAUAUUAUGCCAUGUUCUGUAAUAUCACUAUACAUGUCACAUUUGUAGACAACAGUUCCAACUUCCAAAAAGAUUUUAGUAAAAUGAAUUUAUGUUGAACGACAUUUAUUUGCUUUAGUAUUUUUUUUUUCUUGCUCUAGAUUUAAUUAUGAAAAGUAAUGGAAAGAAGAGGGUUAAGUAAUAAAAUGACUACUUUUGUAAUUCGGCCUUUCGUUACUUUCGACCUUUCGUUACAUUCGGCCUUUCGUUCCCUUCGGCCUUUUUUUUACUUUCGGUCUUUCGUUCCCCUCGGCCUUUUGUUACCGUCGGCCUUUCGUGAUUCGGCCUUUCGUAGUAGUCCCAAAAUAAACAGCAGUGGAAUCAAUAAAGCGAGAGGCAAAAAUUGGACAUCCGGCGAAGAUUAAAAAACACCCGUAGAAUGCCGACCGAUUUUGUUUCAUUUUCAUAUUAGCGAAAGUUGUAAACUUUGGGUUAGCAAUUGAAAUCCGCUUAAUAGGAGACUAAGCUUAUGGGAUUUGGACUUUUUGGGGGUAUGUCCAAUUAUCUCGGGUGUGUUAAGAGAUAGUGCAAUACUUUUAGGGCUUGAACAGAUCUACCAUUUAGAGCUUUGGUUCAUAUUAUGUAUUAGUUGGUAACGUGGCCACCAGAGGCCACAGAUUGAUGCUAAAUUGCACUACAGGAUCCAUAUUAGGUUGUUAAGCAAACGUUACGAUAUGCGACCCUGAUAAUUAGGAAUAGUGUCUUCGGAAAAAUUAUUGGAUACGCCACAGAUGAUGAGUUACGAAGUUUAAAAUUCCUCCACUGGGCGGCGCUAGUGAGCAUGUAAAUUUUCAACACCUCAUAUCUUAGAAUCUCAAUAAUUUAGAAAGUUGGUGUCUUCGGCAAAGUUGAUCAGUAUGACAUAGACUUACAUAAAACGGGACACGUGUUUCGGAAUUCUGCCACUAGGCGGCGCUAGUGAAUUUGCAAUCUCUGAAAAAAAUCCAUAAAUCAUGCCCUUAGAAGGUCCAGAAGAAACAGGAAGAGCCAAAGAAGGAACUCCUGGAGAAAUCCUAGUAUAUUUAGUUGGAUAAAUUAGGAACCGUAGGAAUUACUGAAAGACGCCAUAGAAAAACUCAUAUAGGGUCGUCCAUAAAUGACGUAGCAUUUUUGACGAUUUUUGACACCCCCUUCCCUCCUAUUUUCCAAUACGUAAUACAUGGCUCGUAGCAUAAUCCAAGAUUUCAACUUCCAGCCCCUCCUAAAAUGCUACGUCAUUUAUGGACGACCCCUAUAUAAAUUUCCCCGGUUGGUCAUCGGUUUGUAGUUGCGUGGCAUCUAUUAGAAAUUCCUAGCCAGUUCAACAAACAUCCGGUUAUCCGAAAAGCAUGACGGUGUUACCCCCGCCGAUGAGUGACGGGCUUACCCGAAAAGGCCACUUUUCUCAAAUUACACCGUAACUUUUGAAUAAUUGUUGAAACUGACCAUUCAAUGAAUCUUGGCACUGAAGUAUAGUACAGAUGAGAAUACAUGAUUGAUGAAAGUGAAUUUCUGCACUUCUUUUGUAAUCCAGAAGCUAAAUUCUACCGACGAAAUAUUACAUCCGCCGUUGGUGCAAUGACGCGUGCGUUUGUUUUGUUUAUUUUCUUCGUAUUUGACAGGUAAAUUUUGGUACCAUUUGUCUCGAAAGAGUAAAAAUGGUAAAAACAAAUAAGGCGUGUGGCCAAAAAGCUACUAAAUAACUGUUGUUGAGAAAAACUUAAUUUUUUUUUU